CCCUGGCCUCCCGAAGUAUUCAAGAUAUGAUACCAACCAUAAAAAAUGCCACCAUACUACUUCCAACUCAUUCAGCAACUACAAUAUAGCAAGUUAUGUAAACUUGGAAGAGGACCCAAGAAUAAAAACAAAACUUCUAAAAAGGCAAAAGACGAGACUGAAGCAACUGAAGCAACCAAACUAUAACACGCCAUCAUUUCACACAUGCAGGAUUCUCAUUGAAGCUGCAGGUUCCUCACAAGUAAAUAAAU
rnacentral:misc_RNA from 1 species